AUGCGUUGUUGGGUAGGGGAGCGUUCUGUAAGCCGUUGAAGGUGGCCUGUGAGGGUUGCUGGAGGUAUCAGAAGUGCGAAUGCUGACAUAAGUAACGAUAAAGCGGGUGAAAAGCCCGCUCGCCGGAAGACCAAGGGUUCCUGUCCAACGUUAAUCGGGGCAGGGUGAGUCGACCCCUAAGGCGAGGCCGAAAGGCGUAGUCGAUGGGAAACAGGUUAAUAUUCCUGUACUCGGUGUUACUGCGAAGGGGGGACGGAGAAGGCUAUGUUGGCCGGGCGACGGUUGUCCCGGUUUAAGCAUGUAGGCGGGUGUUCCAGGUAAAUCCGGAACGCUGUUAACGCUGAGGUGUGAUGACGAGGCACUACGGUGCUGAAGCAACAAAUGCCCUGCUUCCAGGAAAAGCCUCUAAGCAUCAGGUAACAUCAAAUCGUACCCCAAACCGACACAGGUGGUCAGGUAGAGAAUACCAAGGCGCUUGAGAGAACUCGGGUGAAGGAACUAGGCAAAAUGGUGCCGUAACUUCGGGAGAAGGCACGCUGAUGGUAGGUGAAGUGAUUUACUCAUGGAGCUGAAAUCAGUCGAAGAUACCAGCUGGCUGCAACUGUUUAUUAAAAACACAGCACUGUGCAAACACGAAAGUGGACGUAUACGGUGUGACGCCUGCCCGGUGCCGGAAGGUUAAUUGAUGGGGUUAUCCUCGCGGAGAAGCU
rnacentral:rRNA from 1 species